AAAUAAAAUUCCGUUUCAAAUGUAAGGUUAUAAUAAAUGCAACAAACUUCAUCGCCAAGUUCCCACCUGGGCUUAGCUUCACGCUUAACUCCUUACCUCAUCCCCUUCUCCAUCCGCUCUAACUCGUACUUCAGGCGCCAUUGUGCUCGGGAAAUUUCUUAUUCUAAGAGAUGCAGCUCACUCGCUAAAUCUGAAUGUAUCUUGAUCAGUAAUGAAGUUGCGGUUGCGGAUCUCGACCGUCGCAUGGCAAAUGUCGCACCAACUUCUUUAUCUCCCCUCUUUCAUCGGGCUGACGCUGGCACAAUGGUAAAAAGAGAGUCACCGUCAGAAUUGAGAGGACAAUUCUCAUGUCUAUAUCAUCUGUACCUUGACAGGGAGAGCAGUUGAAGAAGGAAUAUGCUGUAGACCUUGAGUGGUCCUACAAAUGAGAUGGAUAACGGGAUCAAAAGACGAGGAUUAUUAAGAAACCCAAGAUACACUGACACACGUGUUGGUGAAUUAUUUCCUGCAAAGAUAUCCAGGUUUAAAUUGUCCUCUGGAAAAGAAAAUGCAAAGGUUAUUAUAUUCUUUGAAUUCAUCAUGAGACUUAUCUUUAAUUUGUCAGUUGACGUCUUGUUUAGAUUAUCACUGCUUCUAAAUGGGUUGAGAUUACCGUGUUACUUUAUUCAGAAAAUUCCACCUUCGAAGCAGGCCAGUAACCUGGAGAAUCUUUCUUUCUUUCUUUUUCCUGAUUCAACUGCCAAGAGACAGCAAGGAAUUCCAUGGUUUGUGGUGUUUAUGCAAUUUCUUUGCCUCAGUAUAUAAAUUUUUCCCUGGUUUGAUCCUAUUCCUAAUUAGCGUCAGGCUGUCAGCUUGAAAAUUCUGUUGCUGAAAUUCGCAACAACGGUAUCUUGCAAGCCCGUCAAACAAUUCAAAAGUGCAGCCAAGUUUUUCAGUGUUACUGAGCCUUCAUCAGCUGCUGGUCAAUCGUCUGCCUUGGCAGCU